UGAGCGGUUUUUAUUCUUUAUAGCUGACCCGGCAGACUUCGUAGUGCCACAAUCGAUAAAUAAAAGACCUAAACUUUUGUAUAAAAUAAACUUGAAACAAACAAAAAAAUCCGUCUGACGGGGGGGACAUAAUAGGAAAAAUAAAAUUAUUUUUAUUGAAUUCCGAGCAUUUUCAUAUUUAUCUACCUUUUAAACCUUCUCUGGACUUCCACAAAUAAUUCAAGAUCAAAAUUAGCCAAAUCGGUCCAGCCGUUCUCGAGUUUUAGCGAGACUAACGAAAAGCAAUUCAUUUUUAUAUACCUAUAGCUUCGAUCAACAAUAGUAACUAGAUUUCGGGUCGGUGCAUAAAAUCCGUCUCGUCAAAUAACAGCGCACUUGAAAUGUGAGCUCUUAUUUUGUUUAGUUCACUUCAAAUACAGCCAAUGUCAACCCGUCUCACAAUACCGCAAUAUGUAUUCAAAAGUUGCAAAAAUAAGGCCCGAAAAAGCAAUUUAACGGCCGGAGUAUCUUACUUUCGCUUUCCUAGCAAUCACGUGUGCAGAAUGGAUCUCGAUUGUCGCCAGAGAAACAAGAGAUGACUUUUAUAAGCCAGCUAAGAACUCCGCUUAUUGACACUGGACAUCUUUGCCUUCCGUGCUCACGGCUACUGAAAUGUGGCCGAAAUAUUGUAAUAGAAAUACCACGCUUGAAACCGUUUAAACGUUGUUUUAUUAUGUGCACUGGUCGCGAAAACUUAAAAAUAUAUAUUACACAAAAACGUAACGCUAAUAAAAUAAUAAGUAAUGUAUAGAUACUAACAAACAUACAUUUCCAAAACAUAAAAAGUAAACAACUAAACUUUUACUUUAAUUCAUUAAUAAAUUAUUUUAGUGUUAAGCGCGACUCCCUUACCUCCUGUAGUAAAUAGAAAUCGGCAUUUCAAGAA